rnacentral:tRNA from 1 species
GCGGAUGUGGUGGAAUUGGUAGACACGCUACCUUGAGGUGGUAGUGGGGCAACCCGUGAAGGUUCGAGUCCUUUCAUCCGCACCA